UACGGAGGAUCCAAGCGUUAUCCGGAUUUAUUGGGUUUAAAGGGUGCGUAGGCGGUUUAUUAAGUCAGUGGUGAAAGACGGCAGCUUAACUGUCGCAGUGCCAUUGAUACUGAUGAACUUGAAUGUACUAGAAGUAGGCAGAAUGUGACAAGUAGCGGUGAAAUGCAUAGAUAUGACACAGAACACCGAUUGCGAAGGCAGCUUACUAUGGUAUAAUUGACGCUGAGGCACGAAAGCGUGGGGAUCAAACAGG
rnacentral:rRNA from 1 species